rnacentral:rRNA from 1 species
ACGGGUGAGGAAUACAUCGGAAUUUGCCCUGUCGUGGGGGAUAACGUAGGGAAACUUACGCUAAUACCGCAUACGACCUAACGGUGAAAGCGGGGGAUCGCAAGACCUCGCGCGGCUGGAGAAGCCGAUGUCAGAUUAGCUAGUUGGCGGGGUAAUGGCCCACCAAGGCGACGAUCUGUAGCUGGUCUGAGAGGAUGAUCAGCCACACUGGGACUGAGACACGGCCCAGACUCCUACGGGAGGCAGCAGUGGGGAAUAUUGGACAAUGGGCGCAAGCCUGAUCCAGCAAUGCCGCGUGUGUGAAGAAGGCCUUCGGGUUGUAAAGCACUUUUAUCUGGAGCGAAAUCUGCAGGGCUAAUACCCAUGCAGUCUGACGGUACCAGAGGAAUAAGCACCGGCUAACUUCGUGCCAGCAGCCGCGGUAAUACGAAGGGUGCAAGCGUUACUCGGAAUUACUGGGCGUAAAGCGUGAGUAGGUGGUUUCUUAAGUCUGCUGUGAAAGCCCCGGGCUCAACCUGGGAAUUGCAGUGGAUACUGGGGAGCUAGAGUGCGGUAGAGGGUAGUGGAAUUCCCGGUGU